AGCUCCAAUAGCGUAUAUUAAAGUUGUUGCGGUAAAAAAGCUCGUAGUUGGAUUUCUGUCGAGAACAGCCGGUCACGAUUUUGUCGUUGUAUCUGGUUUGGUCUUGGCAUCCUCUUGGGGAACAUUUCUGCGCUUCACUGCGUGGAGUGGUAUUCAAGACUUUUACUUUGAGGAAAUUAGAGUGUUCACGGCAGGCAAUCGCCCUGAAUAUAUUAGCAUGGAAUAAUGAUAUAGGACCUUGGUUCUAUUUUGUUGGUUUCUAGAACUAAGGUAAUGAUUAAUAGGGACAAUUGGGGGCAUUCGUAUUAACGCGUCAGAGGUGGAAUUCUUAGAUUGCGUUACGACGAACUACUGCGAAAGCAUUUGCCAAGGAUGUUUUCA
rnacentral:rRNA from 1 species